rnacentral:rRNA from 1 species
CGUGUAGGCGGGAGUGCAAGUCAGAUGUGAAAAUUAUGGGCUCAACCCAUAACCUGCAUUUGAAACUGUACUUCUUGAGUACUGGAGAGGCAGGCGGAAUUCCGUGUGUAGCGGUGAAAUGCGUAGAUAUACGGAGGAACACCAGUGGCGAAGGCGGCCUGCUGGACAGCAACUGACGCUGAGGCGCGAAAGCGUGGUAGCAAACA